rnacentral:rRNA from 1 species
CAGAUUGAGAGCUCUUUCUUGAUUCUGUGGGUGGUGGUGCAUGGCCGUUUUUAGUUGGUGGAGUAAUUUGUCUGGUUAAUUCCGUUAACGAACGAGACCUUAACCUAUUAAAUAGUCGUGGGAACCCAGGUCUUUCAUCCCUCUUCAGCAAUGGGGGGGAAACCAUUAUCAUAUUGGUACCCUCUGGGUAUCGUGUGGUAGUGGUGAGGAUCUGAUAGUGUUCUUAUAGGCUUCUUAGAGGGACUCUUUGCAUCUUUAGCAAAUGGAAGUUUGAGGCAAAAACAGGUCUGUGAUGCCCUUCGAUGUUCUGGGCUGCACGCGCGUUACAAUGACGCAUGCAACGAGUUAUUAAAUUCCUGGCCCGAUGGGGUUGGGUAAUCUUUUUAACUGCGUCGUGAUGGGGAUAGAGCAUUGCAAUUAUUGGUUCUUUGAACGAGGAAUUCCUAGUAAUUGCAGGUCAUCAACCUGCGAUGAUUACGUCCUGCCCUUUGUACACACCG